GAUGAAGAACGUAGCGAAAUGCGAUAAGUAAUGUGAAUUGCAGAAUUUAGUGAAUCAUCGAAUGUUUGAACGCACAUUGCGCCCCCUGGUAUUCCGGGGGGCAUGCCUGUCCGAGCGUCAUUACAACCCUCAAGCUCAGCUUGGUAUUGGGCCCCGCCGACCCGGCGGGCCCUAAAGUCAGUGGCGGUGCCGUCCGGCUCCGAGCGUAGUAAUUCUUCUCGCUCUGGAGGUCCGGUCGUGUGCUCGCCAGCAACCCCCAAUUUUUUUCAGGUUGACCUCGGAUCAGGUAGGGAUACCCGCUGAACUUAAGCAUAUCAAUAAGCGGAGGA
rnacentral:misc_RNA from 1 species